GCGGGCGUGGCGAAAUUGGUAGACGCGCCAGAUUUAGGUUCUGGUAUCUUACGAUGUGGGGGUUCAAGUCCCUCCGCCCGCACCA
rnacentral:tRNA from 2 species